AUUUAGCCCUGAUAGGAGUGAAAAUCCUUUUCUUAUUUUCUUUAAAAAGGAAAAGAUUGUAACGGAUAGCAGGAAAUAGC
rnacentral:sRNA from 1 species